ACUUCAGCAGGGUGUGCUCAUGGAUGGGAGGGAGGAAGCGCUGACAGAGCUCCUCUGCAUUGGAAACUCGGCGAAAGAUGAGCUAAGUGUGCACAAAAUGCGCAUUUCUGUCCAUAUAUGUGCUGUGGGAUGAGAAACACUGCCAGGACUGGCAGGAAAGGUGGGGCACGGAGGGCUGGGCACUCCUGGGGAUGGGGAGGGAGUUUUGGUGAGGGAAUCCCACUCAGGGCUCAUUCAGCUGCAGCAAACUGGGAAAACCUGCACUUGGAGCCUCCCCUUCCCAGCAAAGGCCUCUGCCAGUGACAGCAGCGCAAAAACAUUUCAGCAAUGCGCUCCAAACCACUUCCAAAUGUUUUCCAGGCUGGAGCAGAGUGCCACGGAGCCGGGGAGCUGCCCUGGCUCUGGGCACGCUGCCCAGCCAACCUGCUUCCUCUGCUGGCCCAGCAAAUUCCUGCUGGGAGCAGGAUGCUCCUGAAGGGAGGAGAGGCAUCGCCCUGCGCCCCUGCAGCCGAGGGAAUGCAGCUUUUCAUGCUGUUGGAGUUUUUUGAGUCAUUUCCGCGGCCGCUGAGCCUCCCUGAGGCCGGCCACCCGCCGUGGAUGCAGUCACCUUGGGUCAUUCAUCCCAAAUGUGUUUCCUCAGGAAUCUGGGGAUGCCUGUGGCUGUGGCAGCCUCUGCUGAAGGGUUUCUGGUGCCAGGGACGCCUGGAUGCACGUUCUGGAGCUGUGGAACAGCAUUCCCAAUCCUGCCUCCAGAGCAGCCACUGUGACCAAAGGCUGCUUCUCCCAGUUUAUAUUUCCCUGUCCUUGGCAGAUGAAGAGCCUGAAGCUGUCAGAGGGGUGGGAAUUUGAUGGGAUCCUGCCUGGCCCUGCCACCCUCGUUUGUCACCUCUUGUCACACCCUCAUCACUCCAUUAUUCAUGAGCCAGAAAGGGAAAAAAUCAUCCCAAACCUGAAAUUCCGUGCAUGGAUAUGGAGGGGAAUCCCUGAAUUCCUCUGGCAGGAGAGGAGGCAGGAAUGGCUCGUCCUGGUCUGACCAAAUUCCUCCCAAUUCCCAAAGAUCUCUUGGACAAAGCACGCUCAGGAAUGCUCAUGGUGGAAAAGAAAAAGGAUUAAAUCAGUGUUUUCAUAGGGAAUGGGAUUUGAGGAUUUGGAUGGGGAGUUUUUAUUCCCACCCAAAGGGAUCCUUUGCUCAGAGCCCUCAUCCCACCCAUCUCCAGAGGGAAGGAGAACUGAGCCAGGAAUAUCAGGAUCAGCCCUGGAGAUUGUGCUCCGCAGUGUUUGCUGUCUCUGGGGUUUCUGGGAUGGCUUUUCCUCCUCUCCAUCCUCCCUCUUAUCCUGGUUUAGGAACACCAGGAACAGGAGGCUCCAAAUCCCAGCCAGAUUUCACAUUCCCAAUGUUUUUGAGAGGAUGUGGAGCACGAGCAUCCCGUGGUGCAGAUUCCAGCCCUCAGCAUCACUGCUUGGUGUUUGGAUCAGGAGUUUUUAUUGCCAUCAAAGGGGAUCCUGUGCAGCUCUGUCCCUCCUUGUCACCCUGACCACAACCAGACCCCUCAUCCCACCCUGCUCCGAGGGGAAGGAGAGCUGAGCCAGGAAAAUUGGCAUGUCCCCAUUGAUGCCUCAGGUUUGGCUUUUGUAUUUUUCAGGCUCUGUGCUGCUUCAGUGUAACAGG
ensembl:lncRNA